rnacentral:rRNA from 1 species
CCUACGGGGGGCAGCAGUGGGGGAUAUUGCACAAUGGGGGGAACCCUGAUGCAGCGACGCCGCGUGGGUGAAGAAGCGCCUCGGCGCGUAAAGCCCUGUCAGCAGGGAAGAAAAUGACGGUACCUGAAGAAGAAGCCCCGGCUAACUACGUGCCAGCAGCCGCGGUAAUACGUAGGGAGCGAGCGUUGUCCGGAAUUACUGGGUGUAAAGGGAGCGUAGGCGGGGAUGCAAGUUGGGUGUCAAAACUACCGGCUCAACUGGUAGUCGCACUCAAAACUGCAGCUCUUGAGUGAAGUAGAGGCAGGCGGAAUUCCUAGUGUAGCGGUGAAAUGCGUAGAUAUUAGGAGGAACAGCAGUGGCGAAGGCAGCAUACCGGCGCCCGACUGACGCUGAGGCACGAAAGCGUGGGGAUCGAACAGGAUUAGAUACCCCGGUAGUC